UCGAUAUUUUGUCGAAAAUUUUUUCUUCUUUUUUUUUUUAAGGAGGUCGUACGAUAAGGAAGUAGCGAUAUAAACGAAAUGUUUCUUCGGAAAGUGGAAACACGUGGUGGAAAAGGAUUCGAGAAACGUGAGUAAAGAUGAAAGUGACCUAAUUGACGAUAUCUUAUUUGCUUAGUGAGAAACUGUACGCAGCAGUUGGCACGUAAUCGGAAAAAAAGAAGAAAGAAUAGGAGUAAGUACGUGUCGUUGGAUUUUGUCAAAUAAUAAUUUUUGUGAUAUUUGAGGAUGAACAAUAAUUUUAUAUAUUUUCUUAUUACACUAGAGUUAAUGAAUCACGUUAUAAUGGUGUGUGUUUUAUACUAUACUAGAGUUUGUGGAUUCGUAAUAAUUUUUCAUGCUUCGCAAACUUGUCGUCCUUUCGCUAUCGUUGCACAAUUCCCAUGGUGCAAGUGCAAUUAUUCAAAAUUGUAAACAGAAUCGCACAAGUAAGAAAGUAUGUCGAACGGAAGGAUUAUCAAGCAUGUGGAAGCACCGAACGAGAAAAUCGUUAGAAAAUAUUCUUAUAUAAACCGUUCGGAUAACAUACUUUUUGACACAGAAAACAAAGGGGUCGAUGACAUACGAAGGAAUCACAGGGCGAGCUGGAUGGAUUUAAUGAAACGAAAAAACAGUAGUGAAUAAGAAACCAUCUCUCUCCCUUUCUCUCUCCUCGUCUUUUUAAUAUUAGCAAAGAAUUUGCCGUUAAUAUUGUACAUUAAAUCAACAUAAAAAUAUUAAAAACGUAAAAUAUUAUUAUUGGAAGCGUAAACGUAUU